GGAUGUAUCAGCUGAUGGGGGUAAGACCUGGGUCGAGGCUCGUAGAUACCAGAAAGACAAUGUGGCGUAUGUGUCAGAUGGACCUCAAAGUGAUAAGUGGGCUUGGGUUCUCUUUGAGGCCACAUUAGACGUACCAGCGAAUCCUGAGAUCGUAGUUAAGGCGGUGGACUCAGCUGCAAACGUUCAGCCCGAGAAGGUAGAAGACAUAUGGAAUCUGAGAGGAAUCCUCAACACGUCUUGGCAUCGGAUCAAAAUCCAGAGAUCUUCGUGCGUUGAAAGAUCUAAGCUGUGAAAUUAAGUACGCAGCUGACUACUUGGAGAAAGCACACUCACUUUACCAUUGUCCCUGAAUAAUAAUUAGUCACUUCAACUUUCUGCGUCUGUGGAGUAAGGUUGUACGAGUGUUGGGGCUGUCAUUAUGGGAUUUGAGCUCACUUGGUUUCUGUUUAAAUGUCAGCUGCUGUGGUUUUUUUGGUCACUGGAUGACUGCUGCUGUUGGCUGGUCAGGUUUGAUAU